AGACAAUUUACUGCAGAGACCGAGGAGAGAAGAGACUUGCAGACUCUUUUGGAUCUGAAUACUUGUUAGCAACAAGAAUGACUUUUCUCAAGUUUAUUGCAUUUUGUACUUUAUUUCUGGAUUUGAUCUUUACGGUCACGGUCAAUGGACAGUCAGUAAGUCAGAGCAAAGCCCACAGCAGUCCCAUCUGCAGUCGUGGUCCACCCGGACUGCCCGGAAGAGACGG